CAGCUUCCCAACUGCUAUGGGAACAGAAGCCAAGAGGCUGGAUGAAGGACAGAGCUGCAAAGCUGGGUGGGACAGACUGUACAGCCAAACUGUGUGAAAGGACCACGGGUAGCAGCCCUGCGUGUGUGAGUGGGCGCGGGCCUCAUUCAGCAAUGAUUUCUAAUUUAUACAGCAUUGAAAAUCCACAGCUAUAAAUAAACAGUUCUGACUGGCUUUGCUGCCUACUCAAGUGCUUUAUUAAAAAAAAAAAAAGAAAGAAAGAAAGAAAAGAAAAAGAGCCACCAACUGCAUGAGAGAGGAAAACAAUGUCUGGGUGUUUUGUUGCUUCUCCUUUCUUAAGCUCCAGCAGCCCCCUGCAUCAAGGAGGUGCUCCUGUAUAUUUGCUCAAUGGUUGGUGGUUCUCAGCCCAGCAGAAUAAUAGAAUUAAAGGACCCUCUGGCCCCAUAUUUUCAUGCCGACUUCCCACAGAAGCAUGUAAGAUGGUCACAGUUGCAUCUGAGGCCAGAAGACAAACACAACCUGGAUUCACAUUUUGUCAAUAAAUUCAACAAGUUAGCCGACUUCCUACAAUGAAAAUGCCUGCAACAAUGGCUGGGACCUGGUGAUUCUUUAAGUGUGUCGCAGGGCUGCCCUCCAUCCUGCGGGUACCGAGGUAUCAUUCUUCAGAUUGACUGAUACUGUCAUCAGCUGGCUAACAUCAAUUCUCCCGAGUUAGCACAAAUGCCACUAACUGGCAUCCCGAUCUUGUUCCUCUUUAAUUGCCACAAUUCAUCCAGAGUCCAGUCAUCUUUCUUACACAAGCCACAUUGUAUCUCUCCUCCGCUGAAAACUUUCCCACAGACAAGCCCUCAGGUUCAAAGUCUGGACUCACUGAUAUGAAUUGAUGAUCCAGAUUUUCUCUGUCUUCCAGGUCAACCCUCUCCUCAGCAACUCCAGCCCUUUGCAGAUGCUGUUCCCUCUGCCUAAAGGUCUUUUACAUGUCUCUUUUGACUUACUCUUACUCAUUCUUUGGGUCUCAGCUUAGACAUCAAUUUCCUUCGGAAGCUAGCUCAAAACAUCCCUCCUGGGCACCCACAGCACCCUGCGCUUCCCCCUCAUUCUGUCGUCCCUUUAUUUGGGCACUUCCUUCUCUCUCAAACAGUCCCUAAAGGUGGCAUGGUGACUUUUCCAUCACUGUAUCCUCACUCACUUAGCACAGUGCCCAGAGCUGAUGAAUAAUUGAAUGGACACAGGAUGCAUUCAUACAGGACCCCCACCUCAUUGCACCUCCUCUCUCCAACCCCCCAAUUCCCUGCAUGGUCUGAUCACGUGUCCAGGCACUGACAAGCUAAGCCCUAUUCACCACUGCUUCUCAUCUUUAUGUCCACCACAAUUUUUCCCCAAAAUACCAGGGGCUUUUGUGGGCUUUUACCUUCUUGGUCUCUGAAGAUAAAAAGGCAACAGUCAGAUGUGACAGUCGACGACCAACUUCCAAGUCCUUAGGUAGAAAAAGUUAACAGACUGGGUGCCUGGGUGGCUCAGUUGGUUAAGCAUCUGCCUUCAGCUCAGGUCAUGA